AUUGAACGCUGGCGGCAUGCUUUACACAUGCAAGUCGAACGGCAGCGCGGGCUUCGGCCUGGCGGCGAGUGGCGAACGGGUGAGUAAUGCAUCGGAACGUGCCCAGUAGUGGGGGAUAGCCCGGCGAAAGCCGGAUUAAUACCGCAUACGACCUGAGGGUGAAAGCGGGGGACCGAAAGGCCUCGCGCUAUUGGAGCGGCCGAUGUCGGAUUAGCUAGUUGGUGGGGUAAAGGCUUACCAAGGCGACGAUCCGUAGCUGGUCUGAGAGGACGACCAGCCACACUGGGACUGAGACACGGCCCAGACUCCUACGGGAGGUAGCAGUGGGGAAUUUUGGACAAUGGGGGCAACCCUGAUCCAGCCAUGCCGCGUGCGGGAAGAAGGCCUUCGGGUUGUAAACCGCUUUUGUUCGGGAAGAAAUCCUCUGGGCUAAUACCCCGGGGGGAUGACGGUACCGGAAGAAUAAGCACCGGCUAACUACGUG
rnacentral:rRNA from 1 species